AUGGAACCUCUGCUGCUUUUCCUCGCCCUGCUCGCCGCCCCCCGCUGUGCCCUCGCUCAGGUGCAGCUGGUCCAGUCCGGCCCCGGGGCGGUGAAGCCCGGAGAGACCCUCACCCUGAGCUGCGCUGUCUCUGGAGAUACUCUGGAUAGUGGCGCUGGUUGGAGCUGGAUCAGGCAGCCUGCAGGGAAGGGGCUGGAGUGGAUGGGGUGGGUGUACUAUGACAGUGACAACGGGGACUGGGAAACACAAUAUGCCCCAUCUCUCCAAGCCCGAGUCACCAUCUCUGCAGACACCGCCAAGAACCAGUUCUCGCUGCAGCUCCGCUCGCUGACAGCUGCAGACACCGGCACCUAUUACUGCGCCGGAGACACAGUGACACGGCUCCCAGCGGGACUCGUACAAAAAGGGGAAGCGGCUUCUCCCCAGCGCAGGGAGCCG